rnacentral:siRNA from 1 species
UCGCUGUCGCUGGUUUCAGUCG